CCUACGGGCGGCAGCAGUGAGGAAUAUUGGUCAAUGGACGCAAGUCUGAACCAGCCAUGCCGCGUGCAGGAAGACGGCUCUAUGAGUUGUAAACUGCUUUUGUACGAGGGUAAACGCAGAUACGCGUAUCUGUCUGAAAGUAUCGUACGAAUAAGGAUCGGCUAACUCCGUGCCAGCAGCCGCGGUAAUACGGAGGAUUCAAGCGUUAUCCGGAUUUAUUGGGUUUAAAGGGUGCGUAGGCGGUCGGAUAAGUUAGAGGUGAAAUCCCGAGGCUCAACUUCGGCACUGUCUCUGAUACUGUCGGGCUAGAGUUUAGUUGCGGUAGGCGGAAUGUAUGGUGUAGCGGUGAAAUACAUAGAGAUCAUACAGAACACCGAUUGCGAAGGCAGCUUACCAAACUACGACUGACGUUGAGGCACGAAAGCGUGGGGAGCAAACAGGAUUAGAUACCCGAGUAGUC
rnacentral:rRNA from 1 species